GCAUCCAGCUGCUCCAGGCGGGGCAGGCGCAGCGCGGCGAGUGGCAGGCGGCUCAGCGCGUUGCCUACCAAGCCCAGCAGGCGAAGCUCGGCCAGGGGGGCCAGAGCGGCGUCCAGUGCAUCCAGCAUCCCGGGGCUGCCUCGAGCCAGCGCGUGAUUGAGCUGUAGUGAGCGCAGCGCAGGCAGCCCGCGAAAGGCGCGGUAGCCCAGGGCGCGUAGCGGGUUGUGGCUUAGGUCGAGUGCCGCCAGGCUGGGCAACCCGUCGAAGGCACCGUCCUCUACUACCUCGAUGUUGUUGUGUGUGAGGCGCAGCGCGAAUUGAGAAGCUCAAGACCUGAUUUAAAGAGACAGACUCCAGAGGAGGGAGCAUUCCUGGUCUUGGCAUGAAUUAUUCAGGUAAAAGUGAAGGCUGAGAGCAGGAGUCCAUUUGAGCCUUGGUUCUAUUGGAACUCAAGCAGGGUCUCAGCAGCUAUGGGUGCAGCUGGAGGAGCUGACAUCAACCCCUCUUCCUCAGCCACAGGGGGCCAGGAUCCCAGUUACGGAAACCAGUGGGCUCAGUUCUGGCUUUGCUGAUCAUCUGUGUCACUCAGAAAGCAGGGCUUGGUAACUGCUGUCAGUGAGAGAGCACUGGCUGGUUUAGAGCUCUGUGUGAGUGACUGGGAGUGUGGGUGUUGCCUAGCACACACCAGGCACACACCAGGCACACACCUGGAUUCAACUUUCAGCUUUGAGAAAAAAAAAUCACAAAUAAAAAUGAUGUUCUUGGA
rnacentral:lncRNA from 1 species